rnacentral:rRNA from 1 species
UACAGAGGGUGCAAGCGUUAAUCGGAAUUACUGGGCGUAAAGCGUGCGUAGGUGGAUGCUUAAGUCAGAUGUGAAAGCCCUGGGCUCAACCUAGGAAUGGCAUCUGAAACUGUGUAUCUAGAGUAUAGUAGAGGAUAGUGGAAUUUCUGGUGUAGCGGUGAAAUGCGUAGAUAUCAGAAGGAAUAUCGGUGGCGAAGGCGACUGUCUGGGCUAAUACUGACACUGAGGCACGAAAGCGUGGGUAGCAAACAGG